AAUGAUAAAAAAGAAAAAAAUUCAGAAUCAAUUGAGUUAACUCUUCAAACCUGGGAUUCGUAUAAUGAAAGUUUGAUAACUAAAUAGAA